CCGGUCUUAAAGAAGUGACUCAGUGGCAAGUGUAGUUCUCCGUCCCUUUCAGACCAGAUGGGUCACCGGCUGUUGAAAAAGAAUCAAAACCUCUGAAAAGGAAAUAUAUGUACGUGGUUGAAAACUCAAAAGGCACCAAAAGUGAUACAGUGACAAAUACUUUCUACCUCGCGCGGCUUGUCCCCUGAAGUCACCGCAAAGCUGAGCUGAGCACUGGGGAUUUGAGGAGAAGUGCUAAAGGCCCACACGUGGACCAGUGGGGUCUGGGGCACCAAAUGCUGUCAGUCUCCCCUCCCACGCCCUAGGAGCUUGGAAGCCUUGCAGGCCUGCAGGGCCCUCGGCAUCAGCCUAGCCUGCUCGGGAUCCCCAGCGCACAAGGCUCCACACCUUCCCUCUUCCACCUGUUGCACGGUCGGCAAGUCUUUCUUGAUGCCUCGCUCCACUUCCUUCUACUCCAGGUGCAGCCUGGGACCUUUUAUUUUGCCCUCAGUGUGGGGGGGGGGGAUCCUCCUCUUGGAGAUGGUGACUUGGUUCCCUCCCCCGCCCCACGUACGCAAUCAGCCACCCUCUCUGCACCUUGAAGGCCUCUGAACUCCUGGCCCAGCCGUUACUGCCAACCACGUCAUGCUUGCUUGGCACAUCCCUUCGGUAUUAUUAGCCCAAAUUACACUUUGGCCGUGGAGAUGAGGAAAUCCCAACCCAAAGCCAAGUCUUCCAGCAGGGGGUAAAUCCAGGCCAGUCCCUUUGGCAACUGAAUCUCUCCUUUUUGGGCGAUGCACUGGCCCAAUCUUGCACCAUACCCAUCUCCUUGACUCCCAGAUCCUCACACAUGGCCGGUAGUGAGAUAAGGCCCAAGUUAACCCCACACCUGGGAUGGCCUCCCCUUGUCUUCCUCUCCAAACCCUCCCCUGGUUAACCUCAUCCUUCAUAUUUACUCACUAAGCAAUUAUUGAGCACUAUUCCAGGUCCUUGGGAUGAUGCAUCAGUGAACAAAACAGAGAAAGACCCCUGCCUCUGUGGAGCUUACAUUUUAGCAGAAGAGACAGAUAAUACACAAUAUAUUUAUUAAAUAGGUUGUGUGUUUUCUCUUUUCUGGACGACUGAGAGCUUUCUGAGGGUGGGGCUCAAUUCCUGCCCCAGGAUCUGCCCCGGCACCUGGGGCAGCACCCGUUCAAGGGCAGAUGGCCCAGUGCUGCCUAGGAACAGGCUGACAAGCUGGGCAGCCUGGCAGCCUCCCCCGGUCUCAGGCUCCCUGAGCCGAGGGGAGGAAGGAGGCUGCUGUCUUUAAAGAUGACGUGAUGGACAGUUAUUGAAGGCGCUCAGCUGGGGCUCUACUCUAGUCUUAAUCUGAGCCGCCCUCAAGGAAAUCAUAACCAGCUCUUAAAAACAUGUUAAGACCAAAGCUGGUGUGUGUGUUUGAGCAGAGCUUCAGACAGCUACUUAACACUGAGGGCCUCCAGGCCUUUGAUUCCUCUACCCCUCACUUUGCCCUCUCCCCCCAUCUGGCUGGUGUUUAUCGGCCAAGACGUUGUUUAAAUCACACUCGCUUCCUAUAAACAUUUCACUUGAAAUGCCAUCCGCUGCUCCAGAAAUUCAUCUAUCACCAGCUCGGGGGUGUACUUGAGAAGCCUCGGGGCGAUGACUCCCCAUUCUCUCUCUCCUGUCCCCCCAUCAUCCCUCCUCCCCUGACCCAUAUGCUCAGGUUUCACACUGUAAGAACAACUUCCCCUCCGUGUAACAGGGCACUUAGUGCCAGGAUUAUUUAUAACAGCUGAGGUGGCAACAGGCUGUGGGGAGCCACCCGGCCCGUGGAUGCCUCCGCUUGCAAAGCUCAAUAAAUGGACCUGGCACACUGUUUACCACCUGA